rnacentral:rRNA from 1 species
GACGAACGCUGGCGGCGUGCCUAAUACAUGCAAGUUGAGCGAUGAAGAUUGGUGCUUGCACCAAUUUGAAGAGCAGCGAACGGGUGAGUAACGCGUGGGGAAUCUGCCUUUGAGCGGGGGACAACAUUUGGAAACGAAUGCUAAUACCGCAUAACAACUUUAAACAUAAGUUUUAAGUUUGAAAGAUGCAAUUGCAUCACUCAAAGAUGAUCCCGCGUUGUAUUAGCUAGUUGGUGAGGUAAAGGCUCACCAAGGCGAUGAUACAUAGCCGACCUGAGAGGGUGAUCGGCCACAUUGGGACUGAGACACGGCCCAAACUCCUACGGGAGGCAGCAGUAGGGAAUCUUCGGCAAUGGACGAAAGUCUGACCGAGCAACGCCGCGUGAGUGAAGAAGGGUGUCGGAUCGUAAAACUCUGUUGGUAGAGAAGAACGUUGGUGAGAGUGGAAAGCUCAUCAAGUGACGGUAACUACCCAGAAAGGGACGGCUAACUACGUG